rnacentral:rRNA from 1 species
UACGUAGGGUGCGAGCGUUGUCCGGAAUUAUUGGGCGUAAAGAGCUUGUAGGCGGUUUGUCGCGUCUGCCGUGAAAAUUCGAGGCUCAACCCCGGACUUGCAGUGGGUACGGGCAGACUAGAGUGUGGUAGGGGAGACUGGAAUUCCUGGUGGUAGCGGUGAAAUGCGCAGAUAUCAGGAGGAACACCGGUGGCGAAGGCGGGUCUCUGGGCCGAUAUUGACGCUGAGGAGCGAAAGCGUGGGGAGCAAACAGG